GGCGCCUCCAUGGCGAACCUCUAGUUCUUGAACCUGUCCUUUAACCGGCUCCGGGGUACCGUGCCGGCGUCCCUGGGCAACUUGCAGAACCUGCAUUACCUCUGGCUGGACGGGAACCUUCUCGAGGGGACCAUCCCGGCGGCGCUGGCCAACUGCUCGGCGUUGCUCCACCUGAGCCUUCAAGGGAACUCGCUCCGCGGCAUCGUGUCGUAUGCGGUAGCCGCGAUACCCACGCUGCAGAUUCACUCAGUGUCGCGGAACCAGCUCACCGGCACCAUCCCGGCCGCGGCGUUCGGCGGCCAGGGGAACUCGUCUCUGCGCAUCGUGCAGCUCGGCCGCAACGAGUUCUCUCAGGUGGACGUGCCGGGAGGUCUCGCCGCGGAUCUUCGGGUGGUGGACCUUGGCGGCAACAAGCUCGCUGGUCCGUUCCCGACUUGGAUUGCUGGGGCGGGAGGGCUGACGCUGCUCGAUCUCUCGGGCAAUGUGUUCACAGGCGAGUUGCCGCCAGCGGUCGGGCAGCUCACUACGCUGCUUGAGCUGCGCCUCGGCGGCAAUGCUUUCACUGCCGCCGUACCUGCGGAGAUUGGCAGAUGCAGCGCACUCCAGGUGCUUGAUCUCGAGGACAACCACUUCACCGACGAAGUGCCAUCAGCUCUAGGUGGUCUCCCGAGGCUCAGGGAGGUCUAUCUUGGUGGAAACACUUUCUCCGGCCAGAUUCCGGCGACCUUGGGGAAUCUGUCGUGGCUAGAGGCAUUGUCCAUACACAGGAACAGACUCACUGGUCGCCUUCUCUAGCGAUGUUCCUAAAGGUUUCAAUCUCUUCGGAAAUUCUUUCACUAGGUCAAUACCAGCGACAUAUGGGUACUUGCCGUCACUUCAAGUGCUGUCGGCAGCACACAACCAUAUUUCUGGCGAGCUACCAGCCGAGCUCGCCAAUUGUUCCAACCUCGCUGUGCUUGAGCUCAGUGGCAACCAGCUGACCGGCUCCAUCCUGAGGGACCUCUCACGCCUUGGUGAAUUGGAGGAGCUUGACCUCAGCUACAAUCAGCUUUCAGGCAAGAUACCACCAGAGAUCUCCAAAUGCUCAUCACUCACCCUUCUCAAGCUUGACGACAAUCAUUUUGGCGGAGACAUACUAGCCUCUAUUGCCAGCCUCUCGAAGCUACAGACGCUUGACCUGUCGUUCAACAAUCUUACCGGCAGCAUCCCUGCUUCAUUGGCUCAGAUUCCUGUCCUUUUGUCAUUCAACGUGUCACACAACGAGCUUUCCGGCGAGAUACCGGCGAUGCUCGGCUCCCGCUUUGGCUCUUCGUCAGCAUAUGCUUCGAACUCAGACUUGUGCGGUCCGCCGUCGGAGAGCGAGUGCGGCGUGUACCGGCGGCGGCGGAGGCGGCAGAGAGUGCAGCGCCUGGCUCUGCUUUUCGGUGUGGUGGCUGCUGCGGCGCUACUCGUUGCGCUGUUCUGCUGUUGCUGCGUGUUCAGCUUGAUGGGAUGGAGGCGUCGGAUUCGUUGAGAGCCGUGACGGAUACACGACGACGUGAGUAUCAAUGGAAUAAUCCUCGUCGGUAGCUGGUAAUGAAGUAAUCUUGUCUAUUUCAGAGUGUGGGCUUUGCUCAGGUUUUUCGUAAUGUCGAAUCUCUCUCCUUGAUCUCUAUUUCGUCGAAGCCACAACCGUGAUGUUUCAUAAUGGCAAAUUUCUCCCUGGUGGAUGAUGUACCCCAUUUUUUGGAGGACAACAGUAUGAUCCUCCGAUGGUGUAGAGAGGUCAAUCUGCUCU